GAUGAAGAACGCAGCGAAAUGCGAUAAGUAAUGUGAAUUGCAGAAUUCAGUGAAUCAUCGAAUCUUUGAACGCACAUUGCGCCCGCCAGUAUUCUGGCGGGCAUGCCUGUCUGAGCGUCAUUUCAACCCUCAUGCCCCUAGGGCGUGGUGUUGGGGAUCGGCCAAAGCCCGCGAGGGACGGCCGGCCCCUAAAUCUAGUGGCGGACCCGUCGUGGCCUCCUCUGCGAAGUAGUGAUAUUCCGCAUCGGAGAGCGAUGAGCCCCUGCCGUUAAACCCCCAACUUUCCAAGGUUGACCUCAGAUCAGGUAGGAAUACCCGCUGAACUUAAGCAUAUCAAUAAACGGAGGA
rnacentral:misc_RNA from 1 species